rnacentral:rRNA from 1 species
GAUGAACGCUGGCGGCGUGCUUAACACAUGCAAGUCGAACGAAGCAUUUAAGACAGAUUACUUCGGUUUGAAGUCUUUUAUGACUGAGUGGCGGACGGGUGAGUAACGCGUGGGUAACCUGCCUCAUACAGGGGGAUAGCAGCUGGAAACGGCUGGUAAUACCGCAUAAGUGCACAGUACCACAUGGUACAGUGUGAAAAACUCCGGUGGUAUGAGAUGGACCCGCGUCUGAUUAGCUUGUUGGCGGGGUAACGGCCCACCAAGGCGACGAUCAGUAGCCGACCUGAGAGGGUGACCGGCCACAUUGGGACUGAGACACGGCCCAGACUCCUACGGGAGGCAGCAGUGGGGAAUAUUGCACAAUGGAGGAAACUCUGAUGCAGCGACGCCGCGUGAGUGAAGAAGUAGUUCGCUAUGUAAAGCUCUAUCAGCAGGGAAGAUAGUGACGGUACCUGACUAAGAAGCUCCGGCUAAAUACGUG